GGUCUAGCUAAUCGUCUACGCAUAGGUUAGGAAUUGCUAUGGAGUUGUUGAUAAGAUGCUUUUGUCCGGAGGACACAAAAUUUUGCCCUGUUUAGUUUCCCACUCAAAUUUUUUUCAUCCUUCCUAUCGAAUCUUUAGACACAUACAUAGAACAUUAAAUAUACAUAAAAAAUAAACUAAUUACACAGUUUGAUUAAAAAUCGCGAGACGAAUCUUUUAAGCCUAGUUACUCCAUGAUUAGCCUUAAGUGCUACAGUAACUUAUAUUCAUAUAUGCUAAUGAC
rnacentral:lncRNA from 1 species